rnacentral:rRNA from 1 species
GAUCAUGGCUCAGGAUGAACGCUAGCUACAGGCUUAACACAUGCAAGUCGAGGGGCAGCAUGAACUUAGCUUGCUAAGUUUGAUGGCGACCGGCGCACGGGUGAGUAACACGUAUCCAACCUUCCGUUUACUCAGGGAUAGCCUUUCGAAAGAAAGAUUAAUACCUGAUAGUAUGGUGAGAUUGCAUGAUAACACCAUUAAAGAUUUAUCGGUGUACGAUGGGGAUGCGUUCCAUUAGGUAGUAGGCGGGGUAACGGCCCACCUAGCCGACGAUGGAUAGGGGUUCUGAGAGGAAGGUCCCCCACAUUGGAACUGAGACACGGUCCAAACUCCUACGGGAGGCAGCAGUGAGGAAUAUUGGUCAAUGGACGAGAGUCUGAACCAGCCAAGUAGCGUGAAGGAUGAAGGUCCUACGGAUUGUAAACUUCUUUUAUAAGGGAAUAAACCCUCCCACGUGUGGGAGCUUGUAUGUACCUUAUGAAUAAGCAUCGGCUAACUCCGUG